AUGUCUAGGGAAAUAGCGAAGCGACACUCAUGUUUUCAAGUGCAGUCAGUGAUGUAAUGCAUGCGAACAUUUUCUGGCCAGAUUUGCCUUAUACAACUGAUGAACUCGGAAAUGUCUACUUUCAAGUAAAGAAUGACGAAGAUGUUCUGAAAAAUCCAACAGAA